rnacentral:rRNA from 1 species
UACGAAGGGGGCUAGCGUUGCUCGGAAUCACUGGGCGUAAAGGGUGCGUAGGCGGGUCUUUAAGUCAGGGGUGAAAUCCUGGAGCUCAACUCCAGAACUGCCUUUGAUACUGAAGAUCUUGAGUCCGGGAGAGGUGAGUGGAACUGCGAGUGUAGAGGUGAAAUUCGUAGAUAUUCGGAAGAACACCAGUGGCGAAGGCGGCUCACUGGACCGGCAUUGACGCUGAGGUGCGAAAGCGUGGGGAGCAAACAGG